rnacentral:rRNA from 1 species
AGCGAACGCUGGCGGCAGGCUUAACACAUGCAAGUCGAACGGGCACUUCGGUGUCAGUGGCAGACGGGUGAGUAACACGUGGGAACGUACCUUUUGGUUCGGAACAACUGAGGGAAACUUCAGCUAAUACCGGAUAAGCCCUUACGGGGAAAGAUUUAUCGCCGAAAGAUCGGCCCGCGUCUGAUUAGCUAGUUGGUGGGGUAAUGGCCUACCAAGGCGACGAUCAGUAGCUGGUCUGGGAGGAUGAUCAGCCACAUUGGGACUGAGACACGGCCCAAACUCCUACGGGAGGCAGCAGUGGGGAAUAUUGGACAAUGGGGGCAACCCUGAUCCAGCCAUGCCGCGUGAGUGAUGAAGGCCCUAGGGUUGUAAAGCUCUUUUGUGCGGGAAGAUAAUGACGGUACCGCAAGAAUAAGCCCCGGCUAACUUCGUGCCAGCCGCCGCAGUAA